UACGGAGGGUGCAAACGUUGCUCGGAAUCAUUGGGCGUAAAGCGCGUGUAGGCGGUUUUCUAAGUCGGAUGUGAAAGCCCUGGGCUUAACCCAGGAAUUGCGUUCGAAACUGGUUGACUCGAGUACGGGAGAGGGUAGCGGAAUUCCCGGUGUAGAGGUGAAAUUCGUAGAUAUCGGGAGGAACACCUGUGGCGAAGGCGGCUACCUGGACCGAUACUGACGCUGAGACGCGAAAGCGUGGGGAG
rnacentral:rRNA from 1 species